GAGGUAAGGUGGGUAUGUUAAUAGUCAUACUCAUUUUGACGUUUAGCUGCAGAAGAAGCACCGGCUAACUCCGUGCCAGCAGCCGCGGUAAUACGGAGGGUUGCGAGUCGUUAAUCGGAAUUACUGGGCGUAAAGCGCAUGCAGGUGGUUUGUUAAGUCAGAUGUGAAAGCCCGGGGCUCAACCUCGGAAUUGCAUUUGAAACUGGCAAACUAGAGUACUGUAGAGGGGGUAGAAUUUCAGGUGUAGCGGUGAAAUGCGUAGAGAUCUGAAGGAAUACCGGUGGCGAAGGCGGCCCCCUGGACAGAUACUGACACUCAGAUGCGAAAGCGUGGGGAGCAAACAGGAUUAGAUACCCUGGUAG
rnacentral:rRNA from 1 species